rfam:Coccidioides immitis RMSCC 3703 supercont1.43 genomic scaffold, whole genome shotgun sequence.
AUUUCAACGACUACAUGAUGAUCUACCAUGACCCAUAUACUUAGGAAGAGCCGGAAGAGGAAUGGCAGCCCAUCAAUUCCUCCUUUGAGAGGGAAAACUCCAAAGAUAAAUAUGUAUCAAGAAACCCAGCAGGGAAGGCAAAACGG